rnacentral:rRNA from 1 species
GACGAACGCUGGCGGCGUGCUUAACACAUGCAAGUCGAACGGAAAGGCCCUGCUUGCAGGGUACUCGAGUGGCGAACGGGUGAGUAACACGUGGGUGAUCUGCCCUGCACUUCGGGAUAAGCCUGGGAAACUGGGUCUAAUACCGGACAGGAGCCAUUUUUAGUGGGAUGGUUGGAAAGUUUUUUCGGUGUAGGAUGAGCUCGCGGCCUAUCAGCUUGCUGGUGGGGUAAUGGCCUACCAAGGCGGCGACGGGUAGCCGGCCUGCGAGGGUGGACGGCCACAUUGGGACUUAGAGACGGCCCAGACUCCUACGGGGGGCAGCAGUGGGGAAUAUUGCACAAUGGGCGCAAGCCUGAUGCAGCGACGCCGCGUGGGGGAUGACGGCCUUCGGGUUGUAAACUCCUUUCGCUAGGGACGAAGCUUUUUGUGACGGUACCUAGAUAAGAAGCACCGGCUAACUACGUG